rnacentral:sRNA from 1 species
AUGCUACAGGCAGGACCACAGGGGUGGUGCUGGAUUCUGGGGAUGGAGUCACCCAUGCUGUGCCCAUCUAUGAGGGCUUUGCCAUGCCCCACUCCAUCAUGCGCAUCGACAUCGCGGGCCGGGACGUCUCUCGCUUCCUGCGCCUCUACCUGCGUAAGGAGGGCUACGACUUCCACUCAUCCUCUGAGUUUGAGAUUGUCAAGGCCAUAAAAGAAAGAGCCUGCUACCUAUCCAUAAACCCCCAAAAGGAUGAGACGCUAGAGACAGAGAAAGCUCAGUACUACCUGCCUGAUGGCAGCACCAUUGAGAUAUCUGCACCUCAGGAGAGACUGUAUUCCACGUGGAUUGGAGGCUCCAUCCUUGCCUCCCUGGACACCUUUAAGAAGAUGUGGGUCUCCAAGAAGGAAUAUGAGGAAGACGGUGCCCGAUCCAUCCACAGAAAAACCUUCUAAUGUCGGGACAUCAUCUUCACCUCUCUCUGAAGUUAACUCCACUUUAAAACUCGCUUUCUUGAGUCGGA